GUAAGUUGCUGUCAGGAUCCCAAAUCAGGGCCACGAGUCCACCCUGCUGUGAUCCCUGCCCUUCUCCCCCACCUCCCCUUCUAUCCCCAGCCAGCUCUCUGCGGACUGUCUAAUUAAUACUCGUUUAGCCAUAGACGCCAAGACGCAGAAAUGCGUUGAGUAAUGCAAGCAACGAGGGUUAUUUUAUUUUAGAUACUAAAGGCAGGGGGGACAAUUAGACAAGCUAAAGUCCAUCGAUUUCUACAGAAACAAGGAAUAGAAAAUUCUUUGUACCUCCUCCAGCUGAAUUAUGUUGGCUGUUUUAAAAAACAAACAAGCCCAUCUUCAAACAGUGGGGAGUUAGAAGCCAAGCUUCCCCGAAUCACUGCAAUUUUCAGCUACUUCUACUCAAGAUUUGAUUUUUAUUCCUGUGUUCCCAAUUUUAGAAUCACGUCUAGCUCUGCAAGGGACCUUUAUGUCAGAGAUCUUCAAAUGUAUUGAUUUUCAGAUGACUUUAACCAUAAAUCACACUUCCCCCAAACUAUAUCUCAACUUUAACAAAUCCCCAACUCCAUGAAGAAAGGCAUAGCUGGAUCCCGUGAUAUAACUUAAGUUGAUAUUCUCCAUAAAUCUGCAUAGUUAUUCCAGAGCCCUUCUAUUCAUAUAUUCACGUUUCAGAUUCAAGGUUGUGGAGGGAAUGUGAUUUUUUUUAAAAUGAUUAUUUAUACUCCUUGGUGUCCAGUCUUGAGGGGUUCAAAAAGACAUUCAGACAGCUCUGGGAAGAAUAUAAUCUUUCUGAAAAGCACAUGAAAUGUAUUAGGGCCAUUGAUAAAGAGGCUAUGUGACAUAUAAGUUUAAUACUAGAGACAUUUGCUCUGUCUAAUAAUUAAAAGCCACAAGGGAAAUUUUUAAAAAAUCAAGUCUAAUUAAAGUUUGUACAAGAAACGCGUGACUCAGUCUAGGGUGAGUAUUCCUAAGCUUUUCAUUUUAAGAGGGAUGGUUUGGGUUUGUGGGGAAAAGGAUGCAUAAAGAUCCAGGGAUGGAGGAGCACACAGGCUUCCAUGGAUGGCAGAGCUGUCUUGUCAGAAAAUAAUGCAAGCUGAAGGGACAGCAUUGGGUGACUGUCUCCUUGGUUGUCUCUGUUUUCAUGAAUGGUCUUAGAGCAUAUGAUCCCUAUUCAAGCCUAUGGUGCUGGGUGGAUUUGGGAGACAAUAAUUUUACUUUCCAGGUGUUGGAACUGAAAUGAUAAGUGGCAGCCCUCUCAUGGAAUAGCAUUGAUUUUUAAACCAUGGUGACCGAUGCAGGGCAGAGAAAGGAGAAGCCUCUCAGCACCCUCGUUUUCAGCCAUGGCCUUCCUGAGUCCAUUCAGGAAAACAAAAGCCCUGCAAUUAGAUGGGCCUUCUCUCCUUGGAAAGAACAAACAUCACCAUUAAACAUGACCCUGGACGGUGGAGAGCGAGGAAGGAUCUCACUCUCCAGCCCAAAUGACUAAUAGAAGAUUCCUGGUAGGAACGUGUGGCGCUCAGCCAGAAAGAGUCACCAUCCCAUGUUCCACUGAUGUUUGUUGUCUCUCACUGCCAGCUCCCAGUUCCUUUUACACCUGCGAUUGUAACCGGGCCUAUGUUAGAUGAAUCAUAAGGUGUUUGUUUUCCUUUAUCGUGGUCCUUGGCUUCCUCCAGGCAUGCCUGUUUGCACAUAGUCCUUUUAAUAGAAGGGAGUCCCUUGUCAUUAACUUUAUAUCCUGGCCCCAAGCCUCCUCACAUGAUUAAUGAACUUGUUUUUCUUUUAAAGAACAAUGAUCUUUAGGUUAGGCAGAUCUCUUUGAUGGCAUCCAGAAGUUUGAUCGGGCUGGGCCGAGGGACGCAAACAGCUUUGAUCAUGGGGGAUCUUACCUCCCACAUACUUACCUUACCCAUAGAGGCGCCAGCUGUGGUCCUGAACUGAUUCAGAAAUUUCAGUAUUCUGAAUUCUGUAUUUCUGAGGCCUUUAAAAAAAUGAUCCUUUGAUAUAUCUACUGAAAAGUUCUGGAAACAAUAAGUAUCCUUAGUAUCAUAUUAGGGUUACUAAAUAUCACUUCCCUCCAGAGAGAACCAGGGCUUUUUGGAGAAGGCUGAUUUUAUAAACUGAAUAAGAUAACCCUAGAAUAUCUCAUCACACCAGAAAGCAAGGAUGUUAUCAAAGACUUCUGAGGUCUUGUCAUAAGCUGGGGCAAAACGGAGACAAUUUAAACAUCAUUAAAGGCAGUAACUGCAAUGCCUCAAAACACUUCAAUUAUGUUGAAAUCUAUUUGCUCAUAAUGUUCUUUUUAAAAGUACAUUGAUUAUCUUUGAAGAAUGCUAAGAAGCCCAACUCAUUAUUUUUAAAAGCUGGUAAAGAAAGGAAAGGGAUCAAGCAUGUAUUAUCUUAACUUUCCUGUACAAACUAUACGUCAGUAUAAGCAAAUAGUAGAUAAAGGCGAGUUUCUCUUUGUAAAAGUAUUGCAGCUAAUAAAUGAAGGGACGAUAGAAUUAGAAUGUUGCCAUUUUACUUCCCUUAAUGAGUUAAUGAAUCUGGACACCGAAUGUACAUGGCUGAUAAUAUUAGAGGGAGAGGGAAAGAGAAACACCCUGACAUUCUAAGCCUUCGGAUGGAAAUCCGCAAUGCUACCCAUCUAUGACAUGUUAUCGCCAAACAAAACAAAACAAAAAAACCCUGAAUCUGAACAAGCCUGUACAUCACAGGUUAGCAAUCUGCCUUCUUGGGACCAAAUCUGGCCAACUGCCUGUUUUUAUAAAUAAAGUUUUAUUGAAACACAGCCAUAGCCAUUCGUUUAAGUCAUAGCAACAAAGACAGAAGGGCCCACAAAGACCAAAAUACUUGCUGUCUAACCCUUUUCAGUGAAAGUCUGCCAACCCCUGCUAUAGAUCAAAAGAAUCCCAGUACCCCUAUCAGUCUCUUGCAAUAGAUGGACCUUAUUCAGUCCUGAUUUGAACAAAAUGACAAAAUUGUUUAUGAGACAAUUAGAGAAAUUUGA
rnacentral:lncRNA from 1 species